GGGCCCAUAGUAAAGUGGUAUUACGCGGCAUUCGCAUUGCCGAGGCUGGAGUUCGAUUCUCCAUGGGUCCACAA
rnacentral:tRNA from 4 species